GCUGCCGGCUAGCUAAGUCGGUAGAGCGUGAGACUCUUAAUCCCAAGGUUGUGGGUUCAAGCCCCACGCUGGGCG